rnacentral:lncRNA from 1 species
CUUCUCCUCUACCUGCAGGUGAGAAAGGAAGUCUACUAAAUCAUGGCAUCUGAAAGUCCCUCAGGAGCCAUAGACUUGAGAUGGCAGGUUUUAAUUUUAUGCAUACUUACCAAUGAAUACAGCUUGAUUAUCACAGUGGUAUUUCCAAGGUUUUAUCUUAAACGAAAAGGAUUUAUCUACUUAUUUGUUUCUAGAUACACUGGCCCAUCUAGUCCAGUAUUCUGUUCACUUUAUGGCCAAUCACUGACCUACAGGAAACCCGUAAGCCGGAGAACAAAUAUACCAUGUGGGGCAGACAGCACUACCAUUCCAGGCUUUGCUGAACAGGUGGUCAGCUCAUUUCUUCGGGAAUAAGAUCCACUGAGCACAUGCGGACAUUCUUCUGAGUAAACAUGCCCAGGUUAUGCUGCACGUCUAUUAGCUCUGAACAAACCGCUUCAUACCAACCAACACAAGCAUGCCUUGAAACAAAAGAAAGUGCAAACUUCUAAGGAUUGCCUUAAAGUUCAUUAGCUGUUACAAGAAAAAUCCCUAAGUGGUUUAGCGAAGCUGCAAAGCUGCAAAGGUGAGCCAUCUUUAGGACUUCUGCUGAACCUGUCUUUGAAGUAGCAACAACUCUGACAAAUGCAAUUGCUUACAAAUGUGGAAAUUAUGAGUGCAGGGAACUUGCAGGGAGAUGAAAUAUGGCAUUGCUCAUGGUAGAAGCUGUGGCAAUGAAUGAGAAUAUAGCCAGACUUUGUGGGUAGAUACAGAGGGAAAAAUAAUGUGCAAAUUUUCAGACAUAUAU